UCGUAACAAGGUUUCCGUAGGUGAACCUGCGGAAGGAUCAUUACUGAUUUGCUUAAUUGCACCACAUGUGUUUUUCUUUGAAACAAACUUGCUUUGGCGGUGGGCCCAGCCUGCCGCCAGAGGUCUAAACUUACAACCAAUUUUUUAUCAACUUGUCACACCAGAUUAUUACUAAUAGUCAAAACUUUCAACAACGGAUCUCUUGGUUCUCGCAUCGAUGAAGAACGCAGCGAAAUGCGAUACGUAAUAUGAAUUGCAGAUAUUCGUGAAUCAUCGAAUCUUUGAACGCACAUUGCGCCCUCUGGUAUUCCGGAGGGCAUGCCUGUUUGAGCGUCGUUUCUCCCUCAAACCGCUGGGUUUGGUGUUGAGCAAUACGACUUGGGUUUGCUUGAAAGACGGUAGUGGUAAGGCGGGAUCGCUUUGACAAUGGCUUAGGUCUAACCAAAAACAUUGCUUGCGGCGGUAACGUCCACCACGUAUAUCUUCAAACUUUGACCUCAAAUCAGGUAGGACUACCCGCUGAACUUAAGCAUAUCAAUAA
rnacentral:misc_RNA from 1 species